UACAGAGGUCUCAAGCGUUGUUCGGAUUCAUUGGGCGUAAAGGGUGCGUAGGUGGCGCCGUAAGUCGGGUGUGAAAUUUCGGAGCUUAACUCCGAACCUGCAUUCGAUACUGCGGUGCUUGAGGACUGGAGAGGAGACUGGAAUUCAUGGUGUAGCAGUGAAAUGCGUAGAGAUCAUGAGGAAGACCAGUGGCGAAGGCGGGUCUCUGGACAGUUCCUGACACUGAGACACGAAGGCCAGGGGAGCAAACGGG
rnacentral:rRNA from 1 species